ACAUUGAAAAAUUUCUUUUAAAGAUGUUUUGAUAAAAUUAGUUCAUAUAAAGAUUAAUAAAAUGAUAUAAURAUUAGUAUUAUUUAGAACGUUUUGUUAUUGUUUUACUGUAAAGGAUUAUAAUAUUUUUGUGAAAGAAAGAAUGAACUUGUGUACCUUGUGUAUUAGGGGCGAUUAAAAUAAUUGUUAAGCUUAGUAUUCCCGAUAUAGUUGUGGGCUAAAAUUUUAGUUACGUUAAUGUUGCAUAAUUAGGGUUAAUUUAAUUUUAGGGAUGAUAUAUUAUUCAAACAAUAAGAUUUCUGGUUCUUUAAGAUUUUAAUUUAAUUAAGGUUGAGCUUUGUUCAGGUUCAAUUAAUACUUGUAARAGGAUAAGCUUUUAUGAGUAAUUUAUAUACAUUAUUARAGCUUAAAUUAUUUAGAUUUAAUAUUGAUCUAAUUUUUACAAUGUUAUAAUGAA
rnacentral:rRNA from 1 species